rnacentral:misc_RNA from 1 species
GAUGAAGAACGCAGUGAAAUGCGAUAAGUAAUGUGAAUUGCAGAAUUCAGUGAAUCAUCGAAUCUUUGAACGCACCUUGCGCUCCUUGGUAUUCCGAGGAGCAUGCCUGUUUGAGUGUCAUGAAAUUCUCAACCUUUUCAGCUUUCUUUGUUGAUCAGGCUUGGAUGUGGGAGUAUGCGGGCUUCUCAGAAGUCGGCUCUCCUGAAAUGCAUUAGCGGGACCUUUGUUGCCUGGCUUUGGUGUGAUAAUUAUCUACGCCAUUGUAGUCAAGCAGCUUAAAAUGAGGUUUCAGCUUCUAACCGUCUCCCCUGAGACAACUUUUUGACAAUUUGACCUCAAAUCAGGUAGGACCACCCGCUGAACUUAAGCAUAUCAAUAAGCGGAGGA